rnacentral:tRNA from 1 species
GGCUCUGUGGGGCAAGGGUAGCACAGCUGACUCCAGAUCAGCAGGUUCUGUGUUCAAUUCACACCAGAGUCA